GCUGAUAUAGCUCAAUGGUAGAGCAAUGGUUUUGUAAUCCAUUGGUUGGGGGUUCGAUUCCCUUUAUCAGCU
rnacentral:tRNA from 1 species